UACAGAGACUGCAAGCGUUAUUCGGAUUUACUGGGCGUAAAGCGUGCGCAGGCGGUUUUGUAAGCCAGAUGUGAAAUCCCCGGGCUUAACCUGGGAAUGGCAUUUGGGACUGCAAGGCUUGAGUGCGGCAGAGGAGACUGGAAUUCCUGGUGUAGCAGUGAAAUGCGUAGAUAUCAGGAGGAACACCGAUGGCGAAGGCAGGUCUCUGGGCUGACACUGACGCUCAUGCACGAAAGCGUGGGGAGCAAACAGG
rnacentral:rRNA from 1 species